rnacentral:rRNA from 1 species
ACGGUGAAGCCCUUCGGGGUGGAUCAGUGGCGAACGGGUGAGUAACACGUGGGCAAUCUGCCCUGCAUUCUGGGACAAGCCUUGGAAACGAGGUCUAAUACCGGAUACGACGCAUCCCCGCAUGGGGUGUGCGUGGAAAGCUCCGGCGAUGCAGGAUGAGCCCGCGGCCUAUCAGCUUGUUGGUGGGGUAAUGGCCUACCAAGGCGACGACGGGUAGCCGGCCUGAGAGGGCGACCGGCCACACUGGGACUGAGACACGGCCCAGACUCCUACGGGAGGCAGCAGUGGGGAAUAUUGCACAAUGGGCGAAAGCCUGAUGCAGCGACGCCGCGUGAGGGAUGACGGCCUUCGGGUUGUAAACCUCUUUCAGCAGGGAGGAAGCGCAAGUGACGGUACCUGCAGAAGAAGCACCGGCUAACUACGUGCCAGCAGCCGCGGUAAUACGUAGGGUGCGAGCGUUGUCCGGAAUUAUUGGGCGUAAAGAGCUCGUAGGCGGCCUGUCACGUCGGAUGUGAAAGCCCGGGGCUUAACUCCGGGUCUGCAUUCGAUACGGGCAGGCUAGAGUGUGGUAGGGGAGAUCGGAAUUCCUGGUGUAGCGGUGAAAAUGCGCAGAUAUCAGGAGGAACACCGGUGGCGAAGGCGGAUCUCUGGGCCAUUACUGACGCUGAGGAGCGAAAGCGUGGGGAGCGAACAGGAU